CCUACGGGAGGCAGCAGUGGGGAAUAUUGCACAAUGGGGGAAACCCUGAUGCAGCGACGCCGCGUGAGUGAAGAAGUAAUUCGUUAUGUAAAGCUCUAUCAGCAGGGAAGAAAAUGCCGGUACCUGAGUAAGAAUCCCCGGCUAACUACGUGCCAGCCGCCGCGGUAAUACGUAGGGGGCAAGCGUUAUCCGGAUUUACUGGGUGUAAAGGGAGCGUAGACGGCAGUGCAAGUCUGGAGUGAAAGGCGGGGGCUCAACCCCCGGACUGCUCUGGAAACUGUACGGCUGGAGUGCAGGAGAGGUAAGUGGAAUUCCUAGUGUAGCGGUGAAAUGCGGAGAUAUUAGGAGGAACACCAGUGGCGAAGGCGGCUUACUGGACUGUAACUGACGUUGAGGUUCGAAAGCGUGGGGAGCAAACAGGAUUAGAUACCCGAGUAGUC
rnacentral:rRNA from 1 species